rnacentral:rRNA from 1 species
UACGUAGGUGGCAAGCGUUGUCCGGAUUUACUGGGCGUAAAGAGCGCGCAGGCGGUCAGAUAAGUCGAAUGUGAAAGCCCCUGGCUCAACUGGGGAGGGUCAUUCGAUACUGUUCGACUCGAAGGCAGGAGAGGGAAGUGGAAUUCCCGGUGUAGUGGUGAAAUGCGUAGAUAUCGGGAGGAACACCAGUGGCGAAGGCGACUUCCUGGCCUGUUCUUGACGCUGAGGCGCGAAAGCUAGGGGAGCAAACGGG